rnacentral:rRNA from 1 species
GGUAAACGCUGGCGGCGUGCCUAAAACAUGCAAGUCGAACGCACAGUUUUCGGACUGUGAGUGGCAGACGGCUGAGUAACACGUGGGUGACGUACCCGUUGGUGGGGAAUAACUGCCCGAAAGGGUGGCUAAUACCGCAUACGCCCGUAGAUUCGGUUUCUAUGGGGAAAGCAGCAAUGUGCCGAUGGAGCGGCCCGCGACCGAUUAGCCAGUUGGUGGGGUAACGGCCUACCAAAGCGACGANCGGUAGCUGGUCUCAGAGGAUGAUCAGCCAGACUGGGACUGAGACACGGCCCAGACUCCUACGGGAGGCAGCAGUUAGGAAUUUUGGGCAAUGGGCGCAAGCCUGACCCAGCAACGCCGCGUGGGUGACGAAGGCC